UACGUAGGGGGCGAGCGUUGUCCGGAUUUAUUGGGCGUAAAGAGCGUGUAGGCGGCCAGGUAGGUCUGCUGUGAAAACUCGAGGCUCAACCUCGAGACGUCGGCGGAAACCAUCUGGCUAGAGUCCGGAAGAGGAGAGUGGAAUUCCCAGUGUAGUGGUGAAAUACGUAGAGAUUGGGAAGAACACCAGUGGCGAAGGCGGGACUCUGGGCCGAUACUGACGCUGAGGAGCGAAAGCGUGGGGAGCAAACAGG
rnacentral:rRNA from 1 species